UACGUAGGGAGCAAGUGUUGUCCGGAAUUACUGGGCGUAAAGCGUGCGCAGGCGGUUUUGUAAGUCUGUCGUGAAAUCCCCGGGCUCAACCUGGGAAUUGCGAUGGAGACUGCAAGGCUAGAAUCUGGCAGAGGGGGGUAGAAUUCCACGUGUAGCAGUGAAAUGCGUAGAGAUGUGGAGGAACACCGAUGGCGAAGGCAGCCCCCUGGGUCAAGAUUGACGCUCAUGCACGAAAGCGUGGGGAGCAAACAGG
rnacentral:rRNA from 1 species